rnacentral:lncRNA from 1 species
ACGGGGGUUCCGAGUGCAAAGCAAAGUUUUUUUGUAAACCGUCUGCAAAGGCGGGGGGGCGAAGAAGGCGCCCGAGACCGGGCCGAGUGCAGCUGCCGUGGCCGCCGCCUCUCUAGCUCCUCAGCCAUCCGCUCCUCAGUCCAGCCGCCGCAGAGGAGACCAGCAAGCAGAGCCCUCAGAUGCUCGGAGCUUUCUCGGCGCGAAGCUGCCCGUCGCCCUCUCCUGCCGCCCUCGCCCGCCGCCCUCCUGCUCCUGCUCCGGCUGCGGCUCUUGGUACCCCGGCUCCGGGAGCCCAGCUCCCCGCCACCGCCGCCGCCUGGGUGUGGGGGCUGCUGAGGCUGAGCCGGGCCUCGGCGCCGGCUCUGAGGACGG